GACGAACGCUGGCGGCGUGCCUAAUACAUGCAAGUAGAACGCUGAAGGAGGAGCUUGCUUCUCUGGAUGAGUUGCGAACGGGUGAGUAACGCGUAGGUAACCUGCCUGGUAGUGGGGGAUAACUAUUGGAAACGAUAGCUAAUACCGCAUAAUAGCAGUUGUUGCAUGAUAACUGUUUGAAAGGUGCAAUUGCACCGCUACCAGAUGGACCUGCGUUGUAUUAGCUAGUUGGUGGGGUAACGGCUCACCAAGGCGACGAUACAUAGCCGACCUGAGAGGGGGAUCGGCCACACUGGGACUGAGACACGGCCCAGACUCCUACGGGAGGCAGCAGUAGGGAAUCUUCGGCAAUGGACGGAAGUCUGACCGAGCAACACCGCGUGAGUGAAGAAGGUUUUCGGAUCGUAAAGCUCUGUUGUAAGAGAAGAACGAGUGUGAGAGUGGAAAGUUCACACUGUGACGGUAUCUUACCAGAAAGGGACGGCUAACUACGUG
rnacentral:rRNA from 1 species